CUCGAAACGCUCGAUCGUUUAGUUAUACGCGGUUAAGUGUAUCGUGUUUUAUACAAUAAACGUCGAACGUUACGAAUCUACAACGUUACAACAAUUUUACGCUCUCUCUUCUCUGUAGUGAUUCGAACGAAUGAAAUCAUUAUCGAAACAAGAUAUGUAACGCGUGUAACA